AGCAGCCGCGGUAAUCCCAGCUCCAAUAGCGUAUAUUAAAGUUGCUGCAGUUAAAAAGCUCGUAGUUGAAUUUCGGGACUAAUAUGUCGGUCGUGCCUCGGUACGUACUGGCAUUGUUGGUUUCUCCCUUCUGACGAACCAUGAUGUCAUUAACUUGGUGUCGUGGGGAAUCAGGACUGUUACUUUGAAAAAUUAGAGUGUUUAAAGCAGGCUCACGCUUGAAUACAUUAGCAUGGAAUAAUGAAAUAGGACGUUUGAUUCUAUUUUGUUGGUUUCUAGGAUCGACGUAAUGAUUAAUAGGGAUAGUUGGGGGCAUUAGUAUUCAAUUGUCAGAGGUGAAAUUCUUGGAUUUAUUGAAGACUAACUACUGCGAAAGCAUUUGCCAAGGAUGUUUUCAUUAAUCAAGAACGAAAGUUAGGGGAUCGAAGACGAUCAGAUACCGUCGUAGUC
rnacentral:rRNA from 1 species